AGGAGCCGGCGGGCGACCGACGGUGCCCGAAAGGGCGCUGAGGAAAGUCCCCCCUCCGCAGGGCGAGGCGGUCCGGCGCAAGCCGGAGGGGCGAGAGCCCCGGUUAACGCGCAGAAACGACACAGCCGCGCGGGAGCGAGGAUGCGGGUCGCCGCGGAGCUGAGAACGCGCGGAUAUGGUGAAACGGCCUUCCCCGCCGGAGCAAGCCCGAGGGUGCGCCAUGACCUGCCCGGGAGCGCCGAGUGGGGCGCGCAGUCGAAUGUCGCCGAAACAGAAGGGGGCUUAUGACCGGCGCCU
rnacentral:RNase_P_RNA from 1 species